AUGUAUGGACUUCGGAUUUUGCUCGUGACCCCAGUCUGUCCUCAGUACAGUGUGUCCACCCGAACUUUCAGGCAAACGCCGGCUCCUGCGACUGAGAACGUCUGUGAAGUGCGGAACCCUGAAGACCCUGAAACGGAGAUGGGGACACCAAGGCGCCCUCCAUACAGAGGUGAUGAAGGCCCCUUCCCUCGGCACCUUGUGCAUCUCCAGGGAUGGCAGGCUGUGGCCCUCUCCAGGUUGCUCCUGCCCAGCAGAGGGGUGAGGAAACUGCCCCUGGGAUGCUGUGACUCCUGUGGGAGGAGGGAGCAAGGGAGAGAAAAGUGAACUCUGGGUUUUUGAUGCAGAGGAGAGGAACAGUGGUGAAGUGGGCAUCUAAUCUCCUAAAAUAUCCAAAACCAAAGCAAGUAUCACAUCAUAAGAUGUACUUUUAUUUCCUCUUCCUUUUUCCACAUCUUCGUCUGGCCCAUGAGAGUGAUUCAUAUUUUUAUUUAAAUAUUUUUAACCCUUAUUUUAUGUCAACUAAAAAUCUUGACUUUAAUCUGUCCAGUGCAUUUUCUGCAGCCAAUUCUGAAACUUUAUCUUACUGCCUAGUGGCCAAAGGGAUAGGCCGAGUGCAGCCCCUCUUCUCAGCAGCCUCCAUGAUCUGAGUACAAUUGUACUUCACUUGGGUCACCCAGCAGCAGAAAUUCUGUAUCUAGUGGCCAAAAUGUUAACAUUUGCCAGAUGUGUGCUUUUCUUCUAUGGACAGCAUGGAAAAAAACACUGUCAAGUUCUUUAUAGUGUGUAUCACACGCCCAGGUGAGAAUAAACCUGGCCAGGGGAUGCCAGGUUUGGGCUCUGCAAAAUUCAUGUGUUGAAGUCCACACCCCUAACACGAUGGUAGCUGGAGAUGGGGACUUUAGGAGAUAUGUACAUGAGGUCAUGAUGGUGGGAAGAGCGUGAUAGGCUUAGCAUCCUUACAAAAGGAGAUACCAGAGUACAAUGUCUCCUCGUCCCCCACCUCAGGAUGUGGCUCUAUAAGUCAGCAAAAAGGCACAAACAUCAUGGCACCUGGAUCUCAGACUUCAAGCCUCCAGAGCAGUGAAAAGCAGUAUUCUGCCUCUGGUGUCACCCAGUCCGUGUUAUAGAUGCCCUUCCACUUACAGUGAGGUUAUGUUCCUUAAGCUCAUCCUGGAUGGAAAAUGUCUGAAGUCAAAGAUGCACUGACUGUGUCUACCUUUCCCCACUCUGCAGCCGUCGCACAGGGCUCUGCGGAGCAUCGGCCGGUUCCCGUGUGGUCUUGCGGCUGACUGGGCAUGACUGUUCCUGCCGCUCUCAGGGUCUCCAGAGCACAUCUCACCACGCACCACCAGCCUGGGCAAAGAGAAGGUUUAAAAUCCCAAGUACGCUUUCUACUGAAUGCUUAAUGCUUCCGUGCCACUGUGAAGUCAAAAAGUUAUAAGUGGAACUGUAGUAAGUUAGGGACUGUCUGUAUUUUGUUGCAGCUAAUACAGCAAAGAGGGUCUCUCACUCAGAUUACUGGGAUCUUAGAGAUGAUUCCCAGUGGCUUUGAAAUACAGAUUGUUAUGUAGGUAUGGAAAAGCCCACAGAUCAGGAGACAACCGCCAUGAAAGGAUUCGUUGAGGGCUGUGGUGUAGCUCAGGGGGAAGAGCAUGUGUGCAAGUAUGCUUACCAAGCACGUGUGAGGUCCUGUGUUUGAUCGCCAUUACAUGUACUGUAAAAAAAAGAAAGAUUGCUCUAUUUAUAGACCUCAAAAAAAGGGUGCACAUAGUCCUAUGGGGGCGGGGUCACAGCCAGGCUCCUGGGUAGUUGGGAGAGGGAGGUAGGGGAUGUGGAUAAGAGGCUUUUCUGUGCUUUCUGUGGGAAGGAACAGGCGAGGCAGGGUGAGCAUGCCUGCACUCAACUGGUUUGGAUAAUUUUAGUGGGCCCUGGGGCAUAAGAACUGUCCCCAGUUUUCUGGUCCCUAACUCUGAGUGAGGCCUGGAUACUGGUACAGAGUGAGCCCACUGAAUGAGGUGAGUGGCGGUUUAUGGCUCUGAUCACUGGUUUGCAUAUGGAAGGCACAUACACAGGUGAGUAUUCUCUCCAGAAAUUUGUCAUUCUCCAUGGUCAGCAAACCUGAUGAGACAAAGCAUCAGAGAGAAAAGGACAUGGUGCCGUGGUCAGCAUUUACAAGGGAAUAGGACACAUAAUUUAUAGAGUUAUUUUAUAUUUUUUAUAAUAUGCUCCCUAAGAGUCAAAUGCAGAAGAGUGCAGAUCUGUCCACACACUAGAAACCUAAAGAAUCCAGCUGAGGGCCUGGAUCCCAUGGCAAUAUCCUACAUGAGUCCAGCUGAAGACCUAGAGUGCAUGGCAAUGACCCAUGCAAGUCUGUAUCAAGGAUCUGCACUGGGAAGGCCCAAAGGUCAGUGGUGGAAGCUCGAAAGUCUGCACCAGGAGGAUGAAGGAUCUGUGCCAGCAGGCUGAGGGAUCUGCACUGGAGCCGGGAAGCGACACUCAAGAUAAGGACCAGAGUUCCCCUAAAGAGCACCGCAGUCACCCUUAGCAACAGCAAGGACCCAAAAUCCUCCAACUAUGAGAACAGCUGAGUUCAUAUCAGGAAAGCCAGUGUGACAAGUUUCUCCAGCAGAAUCAACAGCACACCAUCUUCCCCUCCAGUUCUGCUUUCAUGCUGCCGGCAACAAUCCUCAGGUGGCCAUUCACCCCGAGCACCGUGCUGAUUCAGUUCAACUGGGUGUUAC
rnacentral:lncRNA from 1 species